CCACAUCACGUUAACACAUCGAUUCUCGUAUGAUCACCGAAGUUAAGCAACGUAGAGCCUAGUCAGUACCUCGAUAGAUGAACGCUUGGGAAUACCAAGUGCUGUAAG